rnacentral:rRNA from 1 species
UACGAAGGGGGCUAGCGUUGCUCGGAAUCACUGGGCGUAAAGCGCACGUAGGCGGGUCCUUAAGUCAGGGGUGAAAUCCCGGAGCUCAACUCCGGAACUGCCUUUGAUACUGGGGAUCUUGAGUCCGGAAGAGGUGAGUGGAACUCCGAGUGUAGAGGUGAAAUUCGUAGAUAUUCGGAAGAACACUAGUAGCGAAGGCGGCUCACUGGUCCGGUACUGACGCUGAGGUGCGAAAGCGUGGGGAGCAAACAGG